UUCUCGCCUUUGUCCAAUCACAUGCGAGGUCAUGGCCACGGCUCACACAGCAGUGUCGACGCGCGUAACAGACGUUUGGUUUGGUGUUUGUAACUCUCCAAGAAGAGAAGACGGGUGCACAAUCCCAAGAUUGCUGAGGCUGUACGGCGUCUCUGAGGCACACUGCAGGCGCUAUGAACCAGAGCAAAGACUAACGUCGCCUCAUAACAAAGCCGUGACCUCCGAUUUGCUUGGGGCUAUUUCAGCAAGUCCAGAGACUGACGACAUUGUUUGCAGAGGUGUAAAGUACUCGAGUAAAUGUACUUCGUUACUGUACUUAAGUAUUUUUUGGGCUACUUUGUACUUGUACUGAGUAUCAAAAAUAUAGGCAACUUUUACUCUCUACUCAAUUACAUUUUUGAUUGGGUAUUUGUACUCUUUACUCCACUACAUUUGAAAUGACACUUAACGUUACUCGCUACAUUGUUUAUUCGUCAAAUAAAAACGAGACGAAAGUGUCAGAGGGUGAUGAUGGAUAGAAUCUGUGGUCGCGAGGUUACACGCCCACACAACUGACGGACUUCAUUUGGCUCUGCGCAGAGCAAUCGUAUGAAAUCAAAGUACUGCGAGAGCGAAUCAAAUGCAUAUGGAGAAGUCUGGUCUCGCGGUACUUUGAUGUCAAACGCUGAAUGGCUUGCGUUGAGCCACCGUAGCGGGACAUCUGCGUGCUGCGUAUGUCAUAAACUGUAGAGAAAAGUUCGCGUCUGGUCUGAGAGAAGAGAUAAAGAGCAAACAUAUGGAUGCAUAUCACAUUUGCUUCAGUCAAGGGACCCUUUGUUAAACAUGUGAUGCUACAAUCAAAACAAAAGUGAUGCGCGAUUGCAGGAGGGUCAUCCCGCAACUCAAAGGCAAGCACAAAUGUUUGUAUACUCUGAUGCUACUUUAUCAGCUAACCUGAGUUACAUAACUUGAUAUAACUUACUAUAUAAGCCAAAAUAAACCAGCGAGGUCCUGUACUGAUUGCCCGAGUAACAUAAGUACAUUAUAAGAUUGAUAAUAAGUGUACAAUUUUACUGUCCUCACAUUUAAUCAAGUAUGCUGUAAUGUAUUUACUGUAAGAGGGAUGCAUGACGGAAGAAAUGUAGUGCACUUAAUGUGAGAUGGUGUUACGUACUACAUGUGUUUUCAAUUAAUCUUUCAAAUGAACAACUUCACGUUUUUAAUAUGCAUUAUCAUAUUUCUGUUAGUGCAAUUUUAGUUUACUGGAAUUUUCUAAAUAUAAAAAUUAUAUCUUUUUUAGGAUAGGCCUAUAUAAGAAUAUUUGGUAACACUUUACAAUAAGGUUCAUUAGUUAACAGUAGUUAAUGUAUUAACCAACUUGAACAAACCAUGAGCAAUACAUUUGUUACAUUAUUUAUUCAUCUUUGUUAAUGUUAGUUAAUAAAAAUGUAAGCUUUAAUUGUUUGUUCAUGUUAGUUCAGAGUGCAUUAACUAAUGUUAACAAGAUUUUAAUAAAGUAUUAGUAAUUGUUGAAAUUAAUAUUAACAAAGAUGAAUAAAUGCUGUAUAAGUGCAGCUCAUUAUCAGUUCAUGUUAACCAAUGUAGCUAACUAAUAUUAACCAAUGAACCCCACUGUAAAUUGUUACCAUAUAUUUAUAUCACAAAGUUAGGCUAUAUAUUUUUCAGCAUGGCACAUUCAAGUACACAAUGACACUAGACUAAAAUUAAAUGGGUUUAAAUUAAAUGUAAUUUAGAUUUCUAGACUAAAAUCUUAUGGCAUUUAGAUGAAUAAAAUUAGACAAAAAACUAAAUCAAUUCAGAUGACAAAAAUAUGACUAAAACUAAAUACAAUUUUAGUCAAAAGAAGACUAUGACUAUGUUUAAUCUGUGUUUGUUCUGCCAGGUUAAAAUUUUGAGGUGUUUGAUUUCUUUUCUAUAUUAGGAAAUAAAACCUCAUAAAUAAAUAAACUUUUUUAGUUUUCACUGCCCAGACCUACAAUGUCUCUUUGUGUUGAGGACUAGUGCAUCUUUGAGCCAACAUUCAGUACGAGUAAAAAUACUUGAGUACUUUUAAAUUGGGUUACUUUAAUACUUUUACUCAAGUCGUAUUUAAAUUGGUGACUUGUAACUUGUAGUGGAGUAAUUUUUACAGUAAGGAAUUUGUACUUUUACUCAAGUAUGGCUUUCAGCUACUCUUUACACCUCUGAUUGUUUGUAAGUAUAACUUCUAAUGUUUUUCCUCAUUUCUUAUUUAAUUGUACCGUGACUCUUUUUAUUAAUACCAGUCUCAUUUAAUUGUUUUCCAGCUGCCCGUAAGACGUAUUAUGAGUCGGUACGCUGGAGCUUCAGAUACAAACAACCUGAACUCGCAUCGCAGGGGGAAAAUGCGAAAAGUUUAGCUCGGAGUCGAUCCAGAAGAAAAAGGUUGCUGGAAGCGAGACGAAGUGUGCUGGCUGAGGAUGAGAUGGACAUUUGGAAGUGCGCCACCAUAGAUCUCAUAUCUGAUGAGGAAGACGGCAUUGUUGGCGGGGUGUCUGGAUGGAUUGUGCGGCCACCGCCCUCUCGCAGCCUGGAACCCCCCGAGCUCUGUGCCACGCUGAAAUCCAGAUUAGAGGCGAUACCAAAGUACAGGGCAACUCACCAUAUACGCGUGAAAAAGUGACUUUUUUACAACGUUUUUGAGUUUUUUUUUCAACACUUUGAAAAAGAUUUUUAGGGAUCUUUCCCGAACGUCUUAGGCACUUUUUGACGUGUUUGGAGGACAAUAUAAGAGACAUUA